AGAGCCUCAAAAAGUCUCUCGCACAUAGAGAAAAAAGAAAAAUAAAAAAAUAAAAAAUAAAAACAAAGAGCAGAGAGUGUAAACGAGGGAGCUUCUUGAAAACCCUUGUUUGAAAUCACAUCUGUCUUUUUAGAGAUAGUUCCAAAUUUCAACCCAAUCUCGUUCCUCUCUAUCUUCUUCAUUCUUCUUGGUUGAAAAUUUUAGUAAUUUGGAUCCACUGGAGGAAGAGGAGGUAAAAUAAUUAAUGGAUCCGUUGGCGGAAGAGCAACUAGAUUAUGGAGAUGAAGAAUAUGGAAGUCAGAAAAUGCAGUAUCAAGGUGGUGGAGCAAUUUCUGCAUUAACAGAUGAGGAGUUAAUGGGAGAAGAUGAUGAGUAUGAUGAUCUAUAUAAUGAUGUUAAUGUUGGUGAGGGUUUUAUACAAAUGCAUCAAUCAGAAACACAGGUACCUUCAGGAGGUGUUGGUAAUGAUGGGCAUCCAAAGACUGAAGGAGCUGGGUCAAGGGUUUCUGAAUCAGGUCCUUCUCGUGGGGUUAACUUAAAGUUGGAUGGGAGGGGGAGUACAAAUUCUGGAUCCAGUUUCCCGCAGCAGAAUACUGGAGGUUUAAACUUUAAUAAGGGUCCAGAAGAAGGAACUGGUGAUUACUCAAAUGGGAGUGCGCCAAAAGGAAGGGGAAUGGAGAUAGUUAAGGCUCCACAAGUUGGAAAUAUGGGUUUCCAGGGAUCAGCAACAGCACCUCCAAAAUUUGGAGCUGAUCCAAAUCAGAUGCCAGUAAAAUUUUCAGGUGCAACUCCAUUGUUACCAGACCCUGGCAUUGAUGCUUUAAGAAAUGCCCAGCAGAUGCAGGUUAAUCGAGUGCCUGGGAAUGUGAACCGUCCAAUAGUUAGUGACAAUCCGAUUCGCCCAGCUGUAGACAAUGGUACUACCAUGAUUUUUGUAGGAGAUUUGCAUUGGUGGACUACUGAUGCGGAGCUUGAAGGUGUGCUAUCCCAGUAUGGAAGGGUGAAGGAAAUCAAAUUUUUUGAUGAAAGAGCUAGUGGUAAGUCCAAAGGGUAUUGUCAAGUUGAAUUCUAUGAAUCUAGUGCUGCAGCUGCUUGCAAAGAAGGGAUGCAUGGUUUUCUUUUCAAUGGGCGUGCUUGUGUUGUAGCAUUUGCUUCUCCACAAUCUUUGAAGCAGAUGGGAGCUGCUUAUCUGAACAAAGCACAAGUGCAGGCCCAGGCUCAGCCACAAGGGAGGAGGGUGCCAAGUGAUGGUGGUGGUGGGAGGGGUGCUGGUGCAAAUUUUCCUGCUGGUGCAGGAGACACAGGGGGGAGGAACUUCAACAAGGUUGGGUGGGGUCGAGGUGGCCAGGGAAUACUAAAUGGCAGAGGUCAAACAGGUGGAAUGAUGAGAGGGAGAGGUGCAAUUGGAGCAAAGAACAUGAUGGGAACGGGAGGGGUUGGACUUGGCGCCGCGAUUGGGGCAAACCCAUAUGCACAAGGUAUGGGAGGUCCUGGUUUAGGAGGUCCUGCUGGCGGGAUGAUGCAUCCUCAGAAUAUGAUGGGUGCCGGAUUCGAUCCAACUUUUAUGGGCCGAGGAGGUGGCUAUGGGGGUUUUGGAGGCCCUGCUUUCCCGGGGAUGAUGCCUCAGUAUCCAGGUAUGAAUCCAAUGGGUCUCCCUGGUGUGGCACCGCAUGUCAACCCUGCUUUCUUUGGUCGAGGAAUGUCUACAAAUGGGAUGGGAAUGAUGGGUAGCACUGGGAUGGAGGCACAUCACCCAGGAAUGUGGGGUAAUGCGGCGAUGAUGGGUGGAUAUGGAGGUGGGGAGGAACAGGGUAGAAGAACUAGAGAAUCGAGCUACGGUGGUGAUGAUGGUGCAUCUGAUUAUGGUUAUGGGGAUGCAAGUCAAGAACGAGUAGCAAAACCAACUCCAGCUCCAAGGGAGAGGGAGAGGGUACCUGAACGUGAAUUUUCCGAGAGGAGACAUCAUGAUGAGAGGGAACAAGACUGGGAUAGAUCUGAUAGGGAUCGUCGUUACAGGGAGGAAAAAGAUGGGCAUAGGGAUCAUCGACUGAGGGAGCGUGACUGGGAUAAUGAAGAAGAUUGGGAUAGAGGGCAGUCCUCUUCGAGAUCUAGGAGCAAGACUCACAUGAUGCAAGAAGAUGAUCACAGAUCUCGGUCGAGGGAUGGUGAUUAUGGGAAGAGACGACGGCUGCCGUCAGAGUGACACUAUUGUGCAUCACCAUUAUCCUUUCAUAUAGGUUUCUUGAACACCAUGUUCCAUGCCCGUGGUAUCACUCUUCUUCCGGUGGUUAUAGCUGCAUCUACCUUUGCCAUUUCUGGUCUCUUGGUCUCACAAGCAGGGCUUUCGCUUCAGGUGGAAUAAGGAUUGGAGCUGGCGAUCGUUGUUCUUAUGAUUAAGUGAGUCUGUUUUGGUUUCCUAGAAGAAGGUGAAAUUUGGUUGGGGCCUCAAUGGAUUUCUGGAAUUUUGGCUAUUUAUUGGUGCUAGGGUGUUAGCUACUUGGCCGAAUGAUGUUUUGUGAAGAAAAUCUGAUAGUACCUGUUUACUUUUUAAAAUUUGAAACUGUUGUGUACUCUGUUGAAAACCAUGUCUACUAGAAUAGAGUCGAAAACCACUCAACUAUAAAUUGUUUGAGGCUUGUUGUAUCUAGGCUGUGCUCGCUUUUGCUUGACCAUCAGUCUGUAAAGCUCUAAAAUGUUUCUUUUGUAACAGCCUGAUUUACCAUAGAUGUAGCGCAGUGAUGUCUCCUGAUGUACAUGUGAGCUUGUAAAGCCUUUGCUGUUUUUGUCACACAGAGGGUUGUAUCAGUUUUUAUGUGUUGAUGAAUCUAGUCAUGCUAGUUUUGCAUUAUAAUUUUUCUUUUUUUUUCUCUCUCUUGUAUCAGCUCACUUCCCUAUAAGAGGAGAA